CCUGACGCAGCAACGCCGUGUGAGGGAUGAAGGCUUUCGGGUCGUAAACCUCUGUCGGAAGGGAAGAACGGGCAUUGGUCUAAUAGGCCUUUGUUUUGACGGUACCUUUAGAGGAAGCACCGGCUAACUCCGUGCCAGCAGCCGCGGUAAUACGGAGGGUGCAAGCGUUAUUCGGAAUUACUGGGCGUAAAGCGCACGUAGGCGGCUUCGUAAGUCAGGGGUGAAAUCCCACGGCUCAACCGUGGAACUGCCUUUGAAACUGCAAAGCUUGAAUCCUGGAGAGGGUGGCGGAAUUCCUGGUGUAGGAGUGAAAUCCGUAGAUAUCAGGAGGAACACCGGUGGCGAAGGCGGCCACCUGGACAGGCAUUGACGCUGAGGUGCGAAAGUGUGGGGAGCAAACAGGAUUAGAUACCCUGGUAGUCCACACCGUAAACGAUGGAUACUAGGUGUCGGGGACUUGAUCUUCGGUGCCGUAGCUAACGCGUUAAGUAUCCCGCCUGGGGAGUACGGUCGCAAGGCUGAAACUCAAAGAAAUUGACGGGGGCCCGCACAAGCGGGAGUACGGUCG
rnacentral:rRNA from 1 species